rnacentral:rRNA from 1 species
UACAGAGGUCCCGAGCGUUGUUCGGAUUCACUGGGCGUAAAGGGUGCGUAGGUGGCGGAGCAAGUCGGAUGUGAAAGCUCGGAGCUCAACUCCGAAAUUGCAUUGGAAACUGCUUCGCUUGAGGGUUGGAGGGGGGACUGGAAUGCUUGGUGUAGCAGUGAAAUGCGUAGAUAUCAAGCGGAACACCAGUGGCGAAGGCGAGUCCCUGGACAACACCUGACACUGAGGCACGAAAGCUAGGGGAGCAAACAGG